CUUGUCCAUUAGAUAAGGGAUCAUAUAUUCCUCCAUUCUAGAUAUCAUAUGGACUGAGACAUGGAUUAUAAUCAUUCUCUCUGUCCAUUUGUUGUUUCCCGAUUUCCGAUUCAUGAUGACUGACUGAUUGAACAAAUCAAAUCAGUCCUGGCUUGGCCAAGCACUCACAUGUAUCAUCAUUAAAUCAUCGAGGGGCCCACAGAUAUCGCUUUUAUCCUGAAGGUAAAAGGAAUGGAUAAACUUCGACUCAUAUGGCUUGUUCUGCUACUUGUUGAAUCAUACACAAAGGCACGUUUUAUAACAUCGAGUUACCAAUGCGUUUUCGUGCAAUCAAUGUACUAUCAACUCAUAGUAACAACUCAUAUCUCUAGGUUUGAAGAAUAUAAGAUAUUAUCGUCUCAUGAUCACUCGUGAUAAAAUCCAUGAAGUGAUUCAAAUGAGCGCGGGUUGAAUCCAAUACUCAGAACUUAUGAGCACUCAUGAGUGUUGUAGCACAACUUUGUCCACCAACUUGGACCUCUACAAGCCAACCCAUGACAGUCUUGAUUCAUAUCUACUUCCAACAUAUGACCGACUGUGGAUGGGUUUGAAUAACUUAGUCAUUCCGGAAGAAUAACCUAGUUAUUAUGGAAGUCAAAACAUGCAAAGUGAAACACAAGAAUAAAUGAAUCUAAUAUGGUAUCAAAGCCUAUGAAUAUAAAUAAAACACUUUCUAUUUAUCACCAUACUGAUUACUCAUUAUUCAUUGUUUCGGUUUCAUAAACUUUAUACUUGAAUUAAAACACUAGGUGUCCCAUGCUCCAAGCAUGUACACUAUGUUUUCUAAACAAUAGCUUUGCCAUACACCAAGUAUGCACUAUAUGUUUGUCUAUGAUCCUUACUUUUGUGAAAUAAACCAAUUGACCAAACUUUCAAUGAUUCCAAUUUCACACUCCCAAAUCGAAAUUUGUUAGAUUUUAAACUUAAAUUCAUUACCCUCUUGCAAUGAAUGUGUACAAAGUCACAAAGACUUGUCAACAACCAUUACAGGGUAUUCCAAUGAAGACCUACUCCAUGGACACAAAGCCUUAUGUUCAAAGUAUGCAUUGAUUUGAACAUGCUUCUUGCAUUAAGUUUCUUUAACCUUACACAGAUUGCUUCCACCUAUGAAGACAACUCUAUAUUCUCAUUUUGACUAGCACUUCUGAACAAGAGUUGCCUCUUUUUAGACUAUGUCAAUAUGGUCCUUCCAAUAUUAACAGUAUACUUCCAACUGUCCUUAAGAAACUCAUAUUUGGUAAACCUUAGAUUGUCCUCGACAAUUGCUUAAUCACUUUAGUCAUAUCCGAUGCUAGACAUUGUUCCCCUUAAUGCCCUAAGGCAUUUGGAAAAUUCAGAAAGGAUAAAUAUUAUAGCACAUGGAAUCGAUCUUGUACCCAAAGUAAAUGGGACACGAUUCAUGAUGUUUCACAUAAAGACAUGGUUCUAGACCAGUCUUUUUACAUAAUAAUUUUUGUUUGCCAUAUUCUCAAAAUUUGAAAAGGGAUGCCGUAAUCAUAAUCGAAUUUUGAGAACGCAAUAUAUAUAAUUUUCUUAAGUUGAACCAAUCCAACAUGAAAUUCAUAUAUAUAUANGCAUGAUGGUAUGCAACCCAAAUGGACCAUGCCGGGUCGGUCAAGUACAUACCAAAUAUAGUUAUGGACUUAGACAUUAAUCCAACAGUCUCCCACUUGGAUAAGUCUAAAACUAUUAUUCAGUAUGACUUCAAAACCUAAGUGGCAAUCAUAGCUCUUAAAGCCGCUGUCGAAAUCUGAUCUUUUCAAUGAACUUGUCCAUUAGAUAAGGGAUCAUAUAUGCCUCCAUUCUAGAUAUCAUAUAGACUGAGACAUGGAUUAAAAUCAUUCUCUCUGUCCAUUUGUUGUUUCCCGAUUUCCGAUUUAUGACGACUGACUAAUUGAACAAAUCAAAUCAGUCCUGGCCCGGCCGAGCACUUCCAUUUGUCAUCAUCAAAUCAUCGAGGGGCCCACAGAUAUCGCUUUUAUCCCGAAGGUAAAAGGAAUGGAUAAACUUCGACUCAUAUGGCUUGUUCUACUACUUGUUGAAUCAUAC
rnacentral:lncRNA from 1 species